rnacentral:rRNA from 1 species
AUUGAACGCUGGCGGCAUGCCUUACACAUGCAAGUCGAACGGUAACAGGUCUUCGGAUGCUGACGAGUGGCGAACGGGUGAGUAAUACAUCGGAACGUGCCUAGUAGUGGGGGAUAACUACUCGAAAGAGUGGCUAAUACCGCAUGAGAUCUACAGAUGAAAGCAGGGGAUCGCAAGACCUUGUGCUACUAGAGCGGCCGAUGGCAGAUUAGGUAGUAGGUGGGAUAAAAGCUUACCAAGCCGACGAUCUGUAGCUGGUCUGAGAGGACGAUCAGCCACACUGGGACUGAGACACGGCCCAGACUCCUACGGGAGGCAGCAGUGGGGAAUUUUGGACAAUGGGCGCAAGCCUGAUCCAGCAAUGCCGCGUGCAGGAUGAAGGCCUUCGGGUUGUAAACUGCUUUUGUACGGAACGAAAAGCCCUGGGUUAAUACCCUGGGGUCAUGACGGUACCGUAAGAAUAAGCACCGGCUAACUACGUGCCAGCCGCCGCAGUAAAAC